GGCGGCUUGAUGUAGUGGUUAUCAUGUUUGCUUUACAUUACGAAGUGUAGUGAGACGCAAAAUGUCGUGAGUUCGACCCUCACAGCUGUCA